GCUUUUGCAUAAGCUAGUAUCCUAACAGCUACUCGCUGGUAUUUGUACACUAUUCUUUCGGGUUUAAUUACUAUGCUUUAUAUUGUUCAAAUAUAAGUAUAUGGCAUUUUAUGGAAGAAUGUGCAUGGAAGGACAUUUUUUUCAGUAGAGGAAUCUCUGUUUUCAGAUGCAUAUGUCAUAAAGCAUGCUGCAGUCCUGUAUAUACUCCCUUGGCCCUUUGACCAGUGCAACCAGGAGACAGUUUAUGGAAGAAUUGCCUUACACUUAAGGAGGAAAGGAAGUGAAAUACUGAUACUAAGGAACUCAGUUGCUUGGAGACCUGCAUCUUGUUAUCUGUGCUGAAAGCCAGGUCAACGGGGGAGCAGAGAAGUCAAAGGCAUCGCUGUAGCAAGCAAGAUCUAAACCUCAAUCAUGUCAUUGAUCCACCCUCAAAUGCCCUUUCCUGCGAGUUCCUCGUGGCAAGUCCUGGUCUGCGGGAGAUGGACAGAAUAAUGGGGUACUCUGCUCUCCUCCUGGCUCCUGCUUGGGCAGUGCACAUUUGGACAGGCAAUCACACCAGGUCAGUAGCCACAACGGGUUUUGAAGUGCAAAGUAAAUAAGUGAUGUCUGACUGUGAUGGUUCGAAAUCAGCACUAAAAGUUCUCCAGACAUUGGUAUUCCACAGGCCAUACCUAUUCACAAAGAAAAGAUCAAGUAGAUUAACACCUUACCUUUCCAGUUGCAUAUAAUUACUAUAACAGAAGUUGCCUUUUUGUAAAGCUGAAGAUAAAACAAUAAACUUUGACUGUCUUGAUUUAGUGCUUGUGCC
rnacentral:lncRNA from 1 species